GGCGCGAUAGCCAAGUGGUAAGGCCGUGGUCUGCAAAAUCACUAUCGCCGGUUCGAUUCCGGCUCGCGCCU
rnacentral:tRNA from 1 species